rnacentral:misc_RNA from 1 species
AACAAGGCGUACCUGCGGACCUGCGGAAGGAUCAUUACAGAGUUCGUGCCCUCGCGGGUAGAUCUCCCACCCUUGUGUAUUCUCUACAUCUUGUUGCUUUGGCAGGCCGUUGGUUCGCCAACCACCGGCUCGCGGGCUGGUGCGUGCCUGCCAGAGGACCUCUCAAACUCGGUUUGUCAGUGUCGUCUGAGUACCAUAACAAUCGUUAAAACUUUUAACAAUGGAUCUCAGAUCGGAAGA